GAGCGACACCACAUCAGAUCCCUUCACCGCCGCCCUCGCACAUCAAUCCCACCAGAUUCUUCUGCAUGCGCCACUGCCUCCCUUGCGAGGACGCCCGGUCAUGGGUAUCCAUCGGCGCAACGACGGCCGCGGCCUCCCCGCCGCCGACGCUCCAAAUCCACCCAUCGUUGACCCCUUCUGCAUCAGUGAUCAAGGCAAGGGGCGUGGUGAUAUCCAUCUUUCCGCGUGUACGACGGUUGGUGCCCGCGUCCGUGUAUCCUACGCCAAGGGUGUCAUAAUAAUCUCAAGGAGGUCCUCUCAAUCCUUGCCGGUGACCACGCUGAGCCGGGAUUCCUCCUCCCACAGAUCCGUUGAUCCAUGGUCAGAUCUCAAGGAGGAGGGGCAUGCGGCGAUUGCCACAGUCGGUGCCUGCACUGGAAGGUCUCCGACGCGUGCUCCAACCAGAUCCAGCCGGACCCGUCCUGCGUCUGCCAUCCCAUUGCGCCGCUGCUUGUGCAAAAUAUGCCUACUGCUACCCGGGCUCACAUGACCCAGAGGAGGAAGGGAGCUGCGCAAGGAAUCACUGCCAGAAGACUCAAUACAAGUUUGAAGAGUCCUGGUCUCUAGGCCAAGUUCCGCAAGGAAGUAGCAAUGCGAGCUAGCCGAGGGUUCAGACUGAUGUGCGCAUUGAUUCUCGCUGAUUCAUGAUUUUGAUCCAAUCAAGCAGCUUUGGCGCUCACGGAGGAGAACCCGCUAUUCCUAGAGGCCUGACGCGCGGUCGAUCACAAGUCCUCCAACGGGUGGAGCUGGUUCAGGUACCAUGAGCACCCUCCACGACAAGCAGGUUCCAUUGUGCAAAGUCUGCCUGCUACGGCUCACACUUCUGCAAGUCACCCAUUUAUUUAGUGUUGGUCUGGGGAAUUUUUUAUGUUGUUGUCUAUACAUUCAUGUUUUUCUUGUGAAAUAUCUUCAUGUUUUUUAGAUUACAUAAAUUUCUGAACACUUGAUUUUUGUAUGUCUUGGUUUCUACAUUUCUGAAACUGAAAGCUAUUCGGGCAGAAAUAUAAUUUCUUUUGUUGCUAUCACGUGUUUAAUCCCUCCGUCCUAAAAUAAGUCUCGCUCAAGAGGGAGAGUUGUUUCCCACAAAUAGUGCUAUUUCAGUUUCAGAAUCUAAACCAUCUUCUAAGGUUCUAACAAACUCUGAUCACCACCUUUAUGAUCUUUAUUACCUUGUCUUUUUUAGUUCACUGUUUGCAGCCUCACCAAUUUUGGCGCCCCCAACAAUUAUGUUCCGAAAAUUACAGUUGGUUGCUCAAUUGAAAACCUUACCCGAAGUAAUAGAACUAAAUUGUAAUAUUGUGACUACAGUGUUGCUAGAGAACUGAUCGACAAUAGUGUCAACUAGGUAUGUAUUUUUUUCUAGAGUAAAGACAAGUAUGCUUCCUCCUCCCUGCAGCUUAAGUCAUUUAGUUCAUAUUUAUAUGUUAAGAGCCUAGAGAUGAGAACGGAAUGUUUUUGUGGGAACGUUUUAAAACCAAUAUCCUAUAACUUGUAUUUGACACUAUAAUCCGAGUCUGCAAAUCAUGUUUCAGGGUUAAAAUAGUAUUUACCGUUUCUGCCACAUAAUUAAUGGUUGCUUUUAUUGUUCGAAACUUACAUUAGUAGUUGAUAUAGUGAUUAUAUCAACCUUGCAAUACUAAUGAGCUCCUUUUAGCCUUGCUUAUAUGGUUAGGUUUUGGAAAUAAUUGAUCAUGUUUUCCUCCCUUGGAUCAGAAAACUAGAAGUAGGAUAUGUCUAAGCUGAGAGUGGUUUUAGAUCUUAGCAUCACACAAGAAAGGCUCCGAUCCCCUUCUAAAUAUACAUGUUUGUCCUAUAUGUUCUCUUCGUAGUUCUAAUGAUUUUUAGUUGAAUAGAGAGUUCUUAAGCCUUCGGAUUAGCAUGUGUGGACAUUUGAUUGAAUCAACUCCUCCUUUUAGUUGAAAGAGGAAGCAUAGUAAAUGCAUUUUUUGCGUCUUCUACUUAGUUAGACUUGCUCAAUCCUAACUUGAUGAUUUUCUUGGAUUUGACACAUCUCCACUUGCAAGGCUACAACAAGAUAUAAUCGUUAGGUUGAUUAAUUACACACACAUACAUGGAAAUAUAUCACUUGAAAUGUGUGAUUUGCAUCGAGAAGAACACCGAGAUAGCAUCAGAGCACGCACACUGCUUUAUAGUCUACAUCAACAAACCGUUGGCGAGCAUGUUGAGACCAUGAGCCCACGUGGGACCUCCAAAGAACUUGAAAAUCCCCGUCAUUGCAAGCAAGGCUGAGGUGAAUUAAAGUUGAACCACAUACUUGGAGAGACGAUGUCGUUGACUUCCGCAACGAUGAGCCAGCUGGCGAAUACCCGCUAGAGAGAGUGGGAGAACUUCUAGCACCACUUGACAGCCAAAUCAUCAACCAUGUAAGGAUUUGACACAUCUCCACUUUCAAGGCUACAACAAGAUAUAAUCGUUAGGUUGAUUAAUUACAGACACGUACAUGGAUAUAUAUCACUUGAAAUGUGUGAUUUGCAUCGAGAAGAACAUCGAGAUAGCAUCAGAGCACGCACACUGCUUUAUAGUCUACAUCAACAAACCGUUGGCGAGCAUGUUGAGACCAUGAGCCCACGUGGGACCUCCAAAGAACUUGAAAAUCCCCGACAAUGCAAGCAAGGCUGUGGUGAAUUAAAGCAAAGAUUUAAUCAAUCCAGAGAUGUUGUAAAUUGACACAGUUGAACCACAUACUUGGAGAGACGAUGUCAUUGACUUCCGCAACGAUGAUCAAGGUGGCGAAUACCCGCUAGAGAGAGUGGGAGAACUUCUAGCACCACUCGACAGCCAGAUCAUUAACCAUGUAAGGAUUUGACACAUCUCCACUUGCAAGGCUACAACAAGAUAUAAUCGUUAGGUUGAUUAAUUACACAUACAUACAUGGAAAUAUAUCACUUGAAAUGUGUGAUUUGCAUCGAGAAGAACAUCGAGAUAGCAUCAGAGCACGCACACUGCUUUAUAGUCUACAUCAACAAACCGUUGGCGAGCAUGUUGAGACCAUGAGCCCACGUGGGACCUCCAAAGAACUUGAAAAUCCCCGUCAUUGCAAGCAAGGCUGUGGUGAAUUAAAGUUGAACCACAUACUUGGAGAGACGAUGUCGUUGACUUCCGCAACGAUGAGCCAGCUGGCGAAUACCCGCUAGAGAGAGUGGGAGAACUUCUAGCACCACUCGACAGCCAAAUCAUCAACCAUGUAAGGAUUUGACACAUCUCCACUUGCAAGGCUACAACAAGAUAUAAUCGUUAGGUUGAUUAAUUACACACACAUACAUGGAAAUAUAUCACUUGAAAUGUGUGAUUUGCAUCGAGAAGAACACCGACCAUGAGCUCACGUGGGACCUCCAAAGAACUUGAAAAUCCCCAACAUUGCAAGCAAGGCUGUGGUGAAUUAAAGUUGAACCACAUAUUUGGAGAGACGAUGCCGUUGACUUCCGCAACGAUGAGCAAGGUGGCGAAUACCCGCUAGAGAGAGUGGGAGAACUUCUAGCACCACUCGACAGCCAGAUCAUCAACCAUGUAAGGUAUGGUGGCAUACAACACCCAUGAUUGUUUUUUCUGUAUUCGUCCGUUCUUCUUAGCAGCAAGCCGGCAACUUAGCCAAUGAUGUUGGACGAUCCAAUUUUUUUGGACUCAAACUCUUGGAUUGUUGCUGUAUAUUCUGAAUUUCUUUUGUAAACAAAAGCGAGGAGUUUGAGAGGAGCUGCAAUUGUAAAAUUGACUUGUUUUCAUUCGAAUUGUUUACUUUAUUAUGAAAUGACUUUUGUUUCUUCUGGAUUUGAUAUACUAUUCUUUGGCUCAUGGGAUUGCCUGACACGGUGAAGAGCUAACUGUUGGUGUUGUUUUACAUCAGUACUGCUUGUUUUAUUUCAAUG